AUGAGAUAUUGCUUUGGUUAACAGGCUAGAGCUAGUGAUACUAGUUUAAGCUUCUCUCUUCCAUAAUUUUCUGUUGACCCCUCCUUUUUGAGAGAGAGAUAGAGAGAGAGAGAGAGAGAUCUUGCUUUUAAGCAAUCGCUUUCCUCAUCUCCUUUUUCUCCUAUAUUUCGUCGAUCUACUCUUUUUGUUGUUGUUUUCUUUUCAAUUUUUUUAGAUUUCAUGGUCUAUAUAUUUCAACUUGUUCUCAUAUCACGCCUGGGGUUGUGACUUGUGAUGGGAGCUAGCUAGCUAAUUAGGGUUAAUCUACAUCUAGAUCUGUCCAUCUGUCUUGCAAAUUAGACAAGUAUGUACAAAUAAAUUCAUCAAUUUUGCAUUUCAUGCAUUUUUUUUUUCCAUAUAAUUAAUAUUGUUGACGAACAUCCUAAUUUGAUGAUUCUUCUUGUUCAUGUUAUAUAUAUGUUAAUGUUUCGAAGAUUUAAGAGAGCUUUCUUCAGUCCACUUAUGGGUGGCUAUAGGAUUUAAUUAGCUGCCGACUCAUUCAUCCAAAUACUGAGUAAAUAAUGGAUUAGCGAAGAAGGCACCCAGUAAAUGAGUGAAUGAUGCGGGAGACAAAUUGAAUCUUAAGCUUCCUGUACUUGGACUGAAGGGAGCUCCCUUUACUUUUCAGUCUUUAACUUUAACACCCUCUUUAGGUCUUUAUUUUUCAUUUUUCAGUUUCUUGGUCAAACAGUCACACUACUAAACUAUGCUAC
rnacentral:miRNA from 1 species